rnacentral:rRNA from 1 species
GGUCAAGCGAAUAAGCGCACACGGUGGAUGCCUUGGCGGUCAGAGGCGAUGAAGGACGUGGCAGCCUGCGAAAAGUAUCGGGGAGCUGGCAACAAGCUUUGAUCCGGUAAUGUCCGAAUGGGGAAACCCACCCGCUUGCGGGUAUCCUGCAGUGAAUACAUAGCUGCUGGAAGCGAACCUGGUGAACUGAAAUAUCUAAGUAACCAGAGGAAAAGAAAUCAACCGAGAUUCCGUAAGUAGCGACGAGCGAACGCGGACUAGCCCUUAAGCUGAUUUGGUUCUAGGAAAACGCUCUGGAAAGAGCGGCCAUAGAAGGUGAUAGCCCUGUAUCUGAAAGGGCCAUUUCAGUGAAGACGAGUAGGGCGGGGCACGUGAAACCCUGUCUGAACAUGGGGGGACCAUCCUCCAAGGCUAAAUACUACUGACCGACCGAUAGUGAACCAGUACCGUGAGGGAAAGGCGAAAAGAACCCCGGAGAGGGGAGUGAAAUAGAACCUGAAACCGUGUGCGUACAAGCAGUAGGAGCUCCGCAAGGAGUGACUGCGUACCUUUUGUAUAAUGGGUCAGCGACUUACUGUUCGUGGCAAGCUUAACCGUAUAGGGGAGGCGAAGGGAAACCGAGUCUGAUAAGGGCGCAUAGUCGCGGGCAGUAGACCCGAAACCGGGUGAUCUAGUCAUGCCCAGGGUGAAGGUGCGGUAACACGCACUGGAGGCCCGAACCCACUCCCGUUGCAAAGGUAGGGGAUGAGGUGUGAUUAGGAGUGAAAAGCUAAUCGAACCCGGAGAUAGCUGGUUCUCCUCGAAAGCUAUUUAGGUAGCGCCUCAUAUGUAUCCUCUCGGGGGUAGAGCACUGUUAUGGCUAGGGGGUCAUCGCGACUUACCAAACCAUUGCAAACUCCGAAUACCGAGACGGACUGUAUGGGAGACACACGGCGGGUGCUAACGUCCGUCGUGAAAAGGGAAACAACCCAGACCCACAGCUAAGGUCCCAAAUUUUGUGCUAAGUGGAAAACCAUGUGGAAAGGCACAGACAGCCAGGAGGUUGGCUUAGAAGCAGCCACCCUUUAAAGAAAGCGUAAUAGCUCACUGGUCGAGUCGGUCUGCGGGGAAGAUUUAACGGGGCUAAGCACAGAACCGAAGCUUGGGGUGCAUAACUUUGUUAUGCGCGGUAGAGGAGCGUUCCGUAAGCCGUUGAAGGUGGAUUGAGAAGUCUGCUGGAGGUAUCGGAAGUGCGAAUGCUGACAUGAGUAACGAUAAUGCGGGUGAAAAACCCGCACGCCGAAAGCCCAAGGUUUCCUUGCGCAACGUUAAUCGGCGCAGGGUGAGUCGGCCCCUAAGGCGAGGACGAAAGUCGUAGUCGAUGGGAAGCAGGUUAAUAUUCCUGCACCUCGCGUAAGUGCGAUGGAGGGACGGAGAAGGUUAGGUGUACCAGGCGUUGGUUGUCCUGGGGAAAGGCGGUAGGUUUGGAUCUUUGGCAAAUCCGGGAUCCUCUAAGACCGAGCACCGAGACGAGCCUUUAUGGCGAAGUCACUGAUACCACGCUUCCAGGAAAAGCUCCUAAGCUUCAGCUUACGCAGACCGUACCGUAAACCGACACAGGUGGGUAGGAUGAGAAUUCUCAGGCGCUUGAGAGAACUCGGGUGAAGGAACUAGGCAACAUGGCACCGUAACUUCGGGAGAAGGUGCACCCUUUUUGGUGGCUCGUGCGAGCUAUAGCUGAAGAGGGUCGCAGUAACCAGGCCGCUGCGACUGUUUAUCAAAAACACAGCACUCUGCAAACACGAAAGUGGACGUAUAGGGUGUGACGCCUGCCCGGUGCUGGAAGGUUAAUUGAUGGGGUCAGCCGCAAGGCGAAGCUCUUGAUCGAAGCCCCAGUAAACGGCGGCCGUAACUAUAACGGUCCUAAGGUAGCGAAAUUCCUUGUCGGGUAAGUUCCGACCUGCACGAAUGGCGUAACGACAGCGGCGCUGUCUCCACCCGAGACUCAGUGAAAUUGAAAUCGCUGUGAAGAUGCAGCGUUCCCGUGGCAAGACGGAAAGACCCCGUGAACCUUUACUAUAGCUUUACACUGAACGUUGAGUUCGUCUGUGUAGGAUAGGUGGGAGGCUAUGAAACUGUGGCGCUAGCUGCAGCGGAGCCAUCCUUGAAAUACCACCCUGUCGUGCUUGACGUUCUAACCUGGGCCCAUUAUCUGGGUCGGGGACCGUGUAUGGUGGGUAGUUUGACUGGGGCGGUCUCCUCCUAAAGAGUAACGGAGGAGCUCGAAGGUACGCUCAGCGCGGUCGGACAUCGCGCACUGUGUGCAAAGGCAUAAGCGUGCUUGACUGCAAGAUCGACGGAUCAAGCAGGUAGGAAACUAGGACUUAGUGAUCCGGUGGUUCUGUAUGGAAGGGCCAUCGCUCAACGGAUAAAAGGUACUCCGGGGAUAACAGGCUGAUACCGCCCAAGAGUUCAUAUCGACGGCGGUGUUUGGCACCUCGAUGUCGGCUCAUCACAUCCUGGGGCUGUAGUCGGUCCCAAGGGUAUGGCUGUUCGCCAUUUAAAGUGGUACGCGAGCUGGGUUCAGAACGUCGUGAGACAGUUCGGUCCCUAUCUGCCAUGGGCGUUGGAGAUUUGAGAGGGGCUGCUCCUAGUACGAGAGGACCGGAGUGGACGAACCUCUGGUGUUCCGGUUGUCACGCCAGUGGCAUUGCCGGGUAGCUAUGUUCGGAAGCGAUAACCGCUGAAAGCAUCUAAGCGGGAAGCGCGCCUCAAGAUGAGAUCUCCCGGGGCACAAGCCCCCUGAAGGAACCAUGUAGACUACGUGGUUGAUAGGUCAGGUGUGUAAGUACAGCAAUGUAUUGAGCUAACUGAUACUAAUGAUCCGAGAGGCUUGACCAU